GUUUUCAGGUCUCAGUUUGAUUUGAAACAGUUUGUGAAACAUUAUCCUGGAGAAAUGUCAACUUUCAUCAAGUCAAAGAUCAUUUGUAUAACACCCUGGUUCAGGUCAAGGCGGGGUCGUAAUCAGGGGAUGAGCUGCACCUUGGCCCGGUGUAGUCCUCAUAUAAUCCUCUUCUCAGGACAGACGCUCUCUCUCUCACCUUGUUCUCACAUUUGAUCAUUGUAAAUAAAUGUGGUGUUAUUUUGGUA